GGGCUCAGUUGGUAGAGUGCUUGCUUGACAUGCACAAGGUCCUGGGUUCAAUCCCCAGCACCA
rnacentral:tRNA from 1 species